CCUACGGGUGGCAGCAGUGGGGAAUAUUGCGCAAUGGGCGAAAGCCUGACGCAGCGACGCCGCGUGAGGGAUGAAGGUCUUCGGAUCGUAAACCUCUGUCAGCAGGGAAGAACGGUCACUGUGCUAAUCAGCAGUGAAUUGACGGUACCUGCAAAGGAAGCACCGGCUAACUCCGUGCCAGCAGCCGCGGUAAUACGGAGGGUGCGAGCGUUAAUCGGAAUUACUGGGCGGAAAGCCCUCGUAGGCGGUAUGUCAAGUCAAGGGUGAAAUCCCCGCGCUCAACGUUGGAACUGCCUUUGAAAACGGCAAACUUGAGUGUGGUAGGGGAUAGGUGAAUUCCAGGGGUAGGGAGUGAAAUCG
rnacentral:rRNA from 1 species